rnacentral:rRNA from 1 species
UGGGGAAUAUUGGACAAUGGGCGCAAGCCUGAUCCAGCAAUGCCGCGUGUGUGAAGAAGGCCUUCGGGUUGUAAAGCACUUUCGUUGGGGAAGAAAUACUCAAGGUUAAUACCCUUGAGGGCUGACGUUACCCAAAUAAGAAGCACCGGCUAACUCUGUGCCAGCAGCCGCGGUAAUACAGAGGGUGCAAGCGUUAAUCGGAAUUACUGGGCGUAAAGCGUGCGUAGGCGGGUAUUUAAGUCGGAUGUGAAAGCCCCGGGCUCAACCUGGGAACUGCAUUCGAUACUGGAUACCUAGAGUAUGGUAGAGGAAAGUAGAAUUCCCGGUGUAGCGGUGAAAUGCGUAGAUAUCGGGAGGAAUACCAGUGGCGAAGGCGGCUUUCUGGACCAAUACUGACGCUGAGGCACGAAAGCGUGGGGAGCAAACAGGAUUAGAUACCCCCGUAGUCC